UAAACGGCCUCCCGCCAUUUCCUCAUUUCCUUUUUUCCCUUUUCAUGAAUGAAUUUCUGUAUAAUCUCAUUUUUGGCCCCUCCGCCUGUUCGAAAGGCCAUCUGACGUUCUAUUAUAUGCGUCAGUGCAAACAGCAGGAUCGCGCCAUUUGAGCAGUCGACCGGACCGGGUUUUUCCAAUUCUCAGCUCCGGUGAUGCAUUCUCUCCACCGAGCAAGGGCAGAGGCCGCCUCCGCCCCUUAAAAAAGCCAGCAGGCACUACAAGCUGAAAUAUAAACUCAGUCGAGAGCAGAAAUUUCAUAUUAUUGAUAGAUCAAUUACUUCUAAUCAUCUUAUGGCACACUGUUGUGCUGAUACAUUGAUUAAAAUGCCUGGAUGAUUUUCACAGGUAAGAAAGCAAAUCGAAGACUCUUGGAGAAACCUCAUCAAGUAUCCUGAAGAGUGGUCAGAUUACCGCAAAGCUAAACUUGACCGAUUGGUUAAUCAGAAAUUCCCAGAUUUUAAACGCAACGACAAAUCUGCUUCUCUCUGGCAUAACAAGGCACCCAGGUGAUGAAGCCUGCAAGGACUUGGUUGAGAACCCCGACAAAUGGUGGGAUAAUAGGUCGAACAACAAGCCAAAGAGUACAUAUCCAGAGUUCAAGCAUAAAGAGAUGAGGCAAGCGCUUUGGCUCGACAGCUCGCCAUCUCGGGUGCUGUCAAACUUGCCGCCCUUAAAACCACCGGAGAAAGCGGCUAGUAGGUGGAUGAAAACGGCCCCCUCUGGCAUCAGUUACAGUUUUAGGGGGCGGGAGGCGGGGAAAGAAAGUGAGCAUAGCCCUCGUUAAAGCCAUGCAUCAGUUUAGUAAGGGUGCCACAGACACCAGUUAAAAGUCUUAGGGUGCCAAACUGCAUCGCAACGAGAGGUUAAUUUCUCAGGAAAGGAGCAAAUUACAAACACAGCCUUCUCUGUAAGAUAAUAAUAAUAAUAAUAACAACGAUAAUGAUAAUCUGGCACGGAGGCUCCUUUUUUUGUGUUUUUUGAAAAAAAAUUGUGUUUCUUAUCAUUUAACAAGAUAACUUAUCAUUUAAUAAGAGUCUUAUUAUAUUCAAAAUAAUAAAUUUCGU